UACAGAGGGUGCGAGCGUUAAUCGGAAUUACUGGGCGUAAAGCGUGCGCAGGCGGUUCGUGAUGUCUGAUGUGAAAGCCCCGGGCUCAACCUGGGAAUUGCAUUGGAAACUAGCGGGCUGGAGUGUGGCAGAGGGGGGUGGAAUUCCACGUGUAGCAGUGAAAUGCGUAGAGAUGUGGAGGAACACCGAUGGCGAAGGCAGCCCCCUGGGCUAACACUGACGCUCAUGCACGAAAGCGUGGGGAGCAAACAGG
rnacentral:rRNA from 1 species